GGGCCUCCCCCACUUCCCACGAGCAGUUUCAGCUCGCCUUUCUCCUCUCGCAUCGUCCCUCUCUCUUUCCCUUCGCGUCCGCACGCCGUCCCUGGUCCCUCCGCCCGCGCUCGCCGCCGCCGUUGCCUCCGCUCUCCCACCCCGAACGCGCGCCGCUAUCGCGCCCGCCCUCACCGCCUCCGCUCUCUCCCGCGAGCGCGCCGCCUCGCCCCUCUCCGGCGACCCCGCCGUGCCUCCGCGCCGGCUCCUCCCGCACCCCCACCGCGCGCCCGCCCUCACCGCUGCCAGCCUCUCCUGAGAGUGAGAAGGCAAGCCUGCGCUGCCGCAGGCGCAGGGGCUGCGGUUGCGGGUGCCAUUGCCUCCGCUCUCCUCUCCCCAGUCCCCACCGCCCCCUGCCGUCGCCUCCGCUCUCCUCUCCGCAGUCCCCACCGCGCGCUGCCGUCGCAGUUCACUCCGCCCGAAGAUCCCGGCUCGCGCCCUGCGCGACGAGUCGGCAGGAGCCCCGAGCGCGUCGGCAACCUCCGGCCUCAACCGCGCCCAGCAGUUCUGGUGUCCACCGCAACACGCCGACGCUGCUGCUCGCCCACCGGAGCAGUGCGCCAACGACCGCCCGCGGCCCCUUGGAAUCGCAGACUUCGCAAUAGCUUCUCCGCCUUGUAGCCCAGUUGCAUCUCUGCGUGGAAGGCAGGAAGGAGGCGGUGGACGUGCUCAUCCGGUACGUCGUGCAGCAGCUGAUCUCGUGGAGUCAUGUCCUCUAGACGACGUCAGCGCCCCGGUAACCUAUGCACAAGGCAUGUUCGAAGGUUUGCCUCACACAAUUCUGAGCUUCUUGCUUGCACAUCUCACUUGUGUCAAACGUUGGUUUUCGGCAUUGGGUUUAGCUGGUUGAUUGGCACAAAAAAUAAUUGCUUGCUAUGUUAUAGUUUCUGCUUCAUCUAAAAACUAUGGAAUUACAUCUAUUUCCUCUAACCUUCGCUUGAAAUCUUCACGUGUUCCCCAUUUUUUGGCUGAAUUUGUGAAAUGAUGCUAUAGUAACAAUGUUUGAGGCAAACAAAUACUCCCUCUGUCCCUUUUUAAGUGUCGUCUUCGAUAUGCGUGCCACAAGUUUGGCUCGAUUUGUAGAAAAUACGAGCAACGUUUGUAUCUUCAAAUAAAUUUAUUAAAAAACUAGAUUAAAAGAUCUAUCUAACAAUAUCAAUUAUGUAUCAUAAAUACUAAUAUUUUUUUAUAUAAAAUUAAGCAAAGUUGUUUCUCGAAAAGCGAAAGCGACAGUUAUUUAGGGACGGAGGGAGUAGUUUUUAGAUUCAAUUUGGAGAUAUAGAACUGUAAUAGUGUAAUUGAUUGGGCACUGUGAUUUAUUAAUGGUUACUUCUUUGCUAUGAGGUACUGCGGCAUGCUUUCUCGCGCACACUGCGAGGUCCUAUUACCAGCACCAAGGCAAGAAAUAGGCACACUCCUGGCCAUCAUUGGCGAAGGAUCAGGGGUGCUACCUGGGUUGCAUUGGUGGAAGAAAGUAGGCUAGGAAUGGAAUUGAGCUCCAAGCUCCAACAGGUACCGCAGAGGAUGGCGGUGGUCAGGUUAACCAGCCUUGUUUUGAAAAUGCAUACCAGCCUUGUUUUGAAAAGACAUGCAUGUCUUGGACUGCUCGUUGCAAAGAUGAUCGGCGCCCCCAAUUCUACUCCACUUUUGUACUUCACUGUGCUGGCGGUCUCCAUGUACAUGAGGGGUAUGACGUGCAUGCCCAGGCCGCCACCCUCCAAGUCUGGUUUGCCAAGCUUGCCCUGGUACACAUCUCCAAGGCUAUCGGGUACCUCAAACCUGAUCACUACCUAGCAUUCGUGGUUGCUAUGGUGAGUCCGUGCCGCGAGCUAUUGCUGCUUAGUCAUCUGUCAUAUUUGUGCUCAAUUAGUCAGUUAUUAGAUGAAGCAAUUCUAUCAUAGAGCUAGGUUUGCUCUCAGAGUUAAUAUGCAGUGUAAACUUAACCAAGAACAAAUUCCUUUGUGUGAAGUUUCUUUAUGUGUGUUACAAAAUUCAAUUUUUUAGGUACAAAGGACAUUUGCCUGAAAGUAUUUUUGGUUAGUUUUAUUAUCUGAGCUUAUAUUAAAGAAGAACAUGAUCUGUAUAUUUUCAAUACAAGUGUUUUUA